rnacentral:lncRNA from 1 species
AACUCCCUAAUCUGCUCUGGAGCAGAUGGGUACCCAAUGGAUUUAUCAUCCACUUCAAUCUUCGGGGAGAAGGUAAAAGGGAAAAGGCGAGUAAAGAUAGCCAAAAUGGGCUAACUGAUGCUGCAAGAAACUCAAAACUGGUUGAUCUGUCCGUAGCAUCCAUGUGGGACUCUACGUGACCCUGCCCCUGGGACUCCAGGUGGGAGCAGGAGGGAUUUCCUUCACAUCUGACCUUUCCUCCACCGCCAUGUCUCACCCGAUAGAGACUAAGAACAUUCGCUCAGACGAUGUUCGACAUGCCCACACCAAAAGCACACAAUAGGAAGGUUCUCGUAUACUGAAAGAAGCUGGUUUUCUAGUCCCCAAUCCACACGCCCUACAACAGAGGGAUGGUGAGAUCAACCUAACACAUACCCUCACAGACCUGUUCUGCUCCAUCUUCAGAGAGCAUUCGUCAAUCUUUAAUGGACGACCCAGCGCAUUCAUGAUGCCCAAAACCCCUUGUCUACUCCAAUACUCCACGGGCAGUCCAUGGAGUUGGAUCCCAACAGGGGAGGUUUUCAACGUUUCAAAUACGAGGUUAAAAUUCAGCCACCAAGAAAAGAUAUGCAAGGAAAGAUCACGGAUCAGAAGUAAGCACUGAAAUCAUAUCCACUUCAGAUUGAAAACGAAACAGAUAGCAGUCAGUGGCUAAAUCCAAAACUAGAGGCAUAGAAGAGACUUUCCACGUUUUGGAAACAAAGUCCCUCAAGAUGUGCAGUGGAGGAGAAACUUUUCCACAAGGUUGAAGUCCCAGGGCUGCCUCCACUGCCUCAUAAUCUUCUCAUCGUAUCUAACAUUGGAGGAGAUCUUGAUGCAAUCAAAAGCAAACGUCGAAAGAAAUGAGUAAGAAACGGUAUCCUUAGAAUGGCCAGCAAGCAGGUCCGUCCAAGAUAC